UAGCUCAGUGGUAGAGCCUCCGCUUCGCGUGCGGGGAGACCCGGGUUUGAUUCCCGG
rfam:Toxocara canis scaffold1306, whole genome shotgun sequence.